GUGAGAACCAGGUCCAGGGACAUCGCACACAGGCCGCCAGAAGGUUCUCACGAGCAGCUGGAUAUCAGCCAUGUGCACCCUGGUGAGGAUGCUCAUCAGCCAGAGUCCUGAGAGCACAAAAGAGAUCAUCAGGGGAAGGUGUCUGCCCCAGAUGUCAUAGAAACCCCCGGGAGCCAGAAUUGCCAUUUGAAGCGGCUCUGGAAGGAAGCGUGGUUUCCCUAGGUGGAGAACGGGCGCUUCGGUGUAUGCAAAGGAAGUCCAAAGCCUGCGGAGUGUUCCUGCUCUGUGAAGUCCCGCAGGGCAGACCCAUCGCAGAGGAGCUGGCUGGCCAACGACCCUCCUCCUGGGGCCCCUGAGGAGCAGAGCAGGAGCACACCCCCUGAGAUGCCCCAGGAGCAGGAGGAGCCACAAGGAGAUGGGCCAACAUCAGCCUUUGAACCCACGAGAUCUGCAGGGGCAUGAACCCAGCUGCCCAUGGCUGUCCCUGGGCCUCCCCUUUAGUGAGAAGAUGAGAGACUGCAGACAACAGCCCCCAGCCCUGCCGCUCCUUUGUGGGGAUCAUGGCACCCGUGGCCAGCUCGGCUCUGGGGAACCGUGAUUCCACUCACCCUGCGGAAAGCCACCCACUGCGUCCUGCCCGCACGCCACGUCCUCCCCAAACAGCUGAGCCUGUGCAAUGUGAGAGGGGAGACGCUUGCCAGAGGUUUCCGGAAAGCAUCCAGAGGUCACUCUGGGCUGGCUCAAGUGGAUCGGGCCCUGACCACUGCUCUGAAUAGGCACUGUCCCACCCUGGGGCCACUCCCUCAGCACCAGAGCAGGCUAAUUGAUGGGUGGGGAGGUGUGGAGGGCUGGAAGCUGGUUUGCAGCUGAAGGAGGCAAGAGGGGAGCCAGGCAUUUGACUCAGCAGCUGACAAAUAUGAGAUGCCAAGAGAAGGUGGAGGGGAGCAUCCAGAUCUUCAGCCCCAAACUGCCUGCCCAGGCCCAGACCCCAUCUACACACCCAACCCAAUCUCUACAGCCGGCCUACCCACCCCCCUCCCUAACCAGCAAGCCCCUUACCUCCCAUGCCACCAUCGACCCUCUCAGCCAAUACCCAACCCACCCAGCGCUCAGAACACACACUCCCCACCCCCACCUGCUCUCACAAUACUCACCCUGCUCAGCUACAGCCUGGGGUGUGUGCUUCCCAUCUGGCUACCCAAGUGAACACCCUACUUAGGGCAUCUCUGGCCCACACCCACUCAGCCUUCACCAGGCCUAUCUCUCUCUGAUGCCCAGCCUACCAACCCAACUGCUGGCCAGCCCACUCGGCACCCAGUCAGCUCCUCAGCACAAUUCCAACCUGCCCGCGGGACCCCUAACUGCCCAUCCAUAACAUCAACCAACCACUAGUCCACUUACGCAGCCCACCCACAGCCCCAUUUCAUAAAUCAGAGCCACUGUGUGCAGAGCACCCUCUGGGUGCUAGUAAACGCAGACCUCCAGCUCCUCCAGCACUGUCCCCGAGUCAUCUCAGAGGCCGUGUCCUGGACAGAGUAUCCUCUACUCAAGGCUCAAAGGAGCAGGGCAUGUGGGGCCGGCCACUUGCAAAGACUGCUCCCACGCCCCUCACGGCUCAAGUGAGGAGAGCACGAGAUGGCUUUCCACACAUUUCACGUCUUCGACUGCAAAAUCUCCUGGGAAAGACAAGAAGUUGCAAAAACUAAGAGGCAGUUGAAGAGGUCGCCAGCAAAUGAAGCUCAGGAGGCCAGACAGACGGACAGAACUCCCCGUCUCCCUCAAUGCCAAAGAAAGGAAGGCUGAGUGGACUGAUGCAAGGGCCCCGGGCAAGGAUUAGGACACCUGGCUUCCUCUCCUGGCCCCACCAGUCAUGAGGGACCUUGGGCGCCGGACUGUAGGAGUCAGGGGUUCUGGGUGUAGACCCAGCUAUGACACUCACCAUGUGGUCUUGAGCAAGUCACCUUGGGCUAGAGAGUCUUUGCCAGGAGCUUGGCUAGGUUCCUGGUCCUCUCUGUCCUCGGCACUCCAGUUCCAACCAUGGGGCUCCUGCUUCAUCUGCUGACCAAACCCCACCAAGUGCAUGGCUUCCACGUCACCCCCAGUGCUGAGCAGGAGGAGAAGCAGGCAGGGAGGCCUCUCCAAGGGCUCCCGAGAUGAAGACAUGUCAGCAACAUCCACAUGGCCAGACUCCCCAGCCCAGGGAGGGCAACUAAGCGUUAUUUCACACGCCAGCACCCACUGAGGGCUAGUUGCUGCUUGGAGCACAGUUCAGAGGAGGAUCCUGUGCUCAGAGAGGAAGCACCAAGAUCAACCAAGUGAUGUCAGUAGAGGGAAUAGGGAAAGGGGACACGAAUGCCAGGAACUUGGAAACCCUAAUGAAGGCCCAUGCCAGCCUCUGGGUUUGUGUCCCUGUUGUUAUCCUCAAGCCUAUAGUAAAGUCUGGUUUAAACAAGCCUCUGUCAAUUGUGCUACCGGAAACGAAGGCGGAAUGAUGAGUCUGCUCCUGGGUCAGACAGCAAAUGGGAGACAGUGCCCCCCGAGGUCAGCAUGACG
rnacentral:lncRNA from 1 species